CGGGAACCCAUGCCUUGGCUGUGUGAACUCACCUUGGGUUUGCUCGGUAUGCUAAGUAUGUGCUCAAAGAAAGUCAAUCACGUCCUAGAGUAUGCACGUAUUCAUAAUCAGUUUAAAUUCAUACAGCUCACUUAUAAGCAUAAUCAAUGAUCACCACAUAGCACGUUGUACGUAAUCAUAAUCAUUCCAGUCAUGCAUAGUGUUUGACAUCAGUUAGUUAACUUAGUUACACUUAACAGAAUUAAAUCAGUUUACUGUGCAGUUUGUCCAAGUUGGCGAAACACAUCAAUUGGCGAAACACAGGUUUGGCGAAACAUAUUCUGUUUCGUCAAACCUCCUUUGGCGAAACACAUUUUCAAAUUCGUCAAUCAUCCUUGGCGAAACUAAUUCUGUUUCGCCAAGACUUCCAAUUCGUCAAACAAUCACAUUCGUCAAUAUGCCAGUUACGUCAACAUCCUAAUUCGCCAACAUUCAGAUUCGUUAAACAGCAGUUACGUUAACACAUCAGUUACAGGAAAUCAUGCAGUCAAAUACGGAAACCCUAAUCAUGUUAACUGCCGUCAUCAAUCAUCAAACCAUAAUCAUACAAUCAUCAUGAAAAUCAUUUGUACCAUAAUGUAAUCAUUCGUCCACUAUCGUGUAUAUCGCUACGUUAACCAAAUCAUGUUACAACAAUCAACCUCUAGCAUGAACCCUAGAUCAUGAGAUCACAAUAUCACAAUUACCCUAAUCAGAUUAUCAAUAACAACCAAUUUGAUUUCGGUACCCAGAUUUGUAACUGAUACGAUAGAUUCUAGUAUUAUCACAUAUCAACCAAUCAUGGCAUAAUCAACAUCACAUCUAGUAUGAGCCUAUACUUCUAGCAAAGUAGUUAAUCGAUAGACGAACUAAAAAUCACGUAAGAGUUAAACACUUACCACAAUGAACAAGAUAACAAUCAAAUUGAUUCGGGGCUUCGGAGACACAAGAUUGCCGUCACACAGAAGAGGGGAGCGUUCUAGGGUUUAGGUUUUGCCAAAGAUGUGAAACUGAAACCGUUUCACGUAAUUAUACUCGAAACAGCGUAUUGGGCCCUAACUGGGCUUCGGCGAAUCUGGGCUCGGCGAAACAGGCUUUGUUUCGUCGAGUUGUUCUUGGCGAAUCAAAACUCUGAUCCGUCGAGUUGUUCUUGGCGAAACACACUUGUGUUUCGUUGAGUUGUUCAAGUGUUAUUAGUUUAAGUUUAUCAAACAGACUUCAAGUUAUACAAUCGAACACAUAAUCAUGCAAUCACAAUUCGUUUCAUUAUAACAUAACGUGUGCAGUUACAAGUCAAACAAGUCAAACAGUCAAAGUCAAUGGUCAAAGUCAACGUGCAUUUAAAGUCGAAAGGUCGAGUUGUCACACUUCCUCUUUGUUUACCAAAAAGGUGGGGGUUCGAGACCUGCUCAGGCCGCGUUUUUCCUUAUUUAUUUUUAAAAGCAAAGCCAAAAAUCCAACUGGUACAAGCCCAGCAAAAAUAACCUUAUUUAGUAGGUCUCGGAUCUCUAGUUCGCUUUGGGCCUCUAAAAUGGUUGAGCCGGCCCUGUGGUUAGUGAUUUAUAUGAUUUGCAUUUAUAUAUCUUACCUUGUACUGGAUGUUUCAUAGGGAAAAAUCAACUCAAACCUUGAACUAUUUCCUAAACAUAACCUUUUUAUUUCAGGGGCAGCUAUUAGGAUAAAUUGCAAAUAUGAUGCAGUUCACAAGAACCAUCGAGCAGAUAUUGUUCUCGGUUGACUAGGCUGCAAAACCAUUACCCAGCCAGUCCUAUUCUGUUUAUUUUUCAGGAACAAAUGAACAACUACAAUAUCUGUAAGAUGAAAGUGUUUCGGUAGAUUCUUUUGUGGUAAUGACGAACAAGGAGCAUAAUGGAUGUCGUAAACUUUAUGGUAGAGGUGUUACCAAUAAAUUGUUGAAAAAAGCUGAUGGUGUUGAAACAUCAUACAUGAUUUAGGGGGGCUUAUGGAAAUGCAUCAAGAAGUUAAAAGAGGACCAUGAAAGAAAACAAAGUCAAGCUCAAAACUGAGCUAGAAGUUAUGUAGAAAGAUUUUGACAACCAACAAGCAAACUUUGAAGCUACCAAGCAAAGUAUUAUAGCAAAGCUACCUAUUGAAGUACUUCAACAUCUUAGAAAUGAGUAGGAGGUUUUUGUUACUUUUUAUUGUUUUAGUUAACAACUUCAGUUUUAUUACAUUAUUAUUUUGAGUUUGGAAAUUACAAUAUAAGAUUAUCUAUACUUUUGUUACUAUUGUGUUUGUGUAAUUGAGAUUCUAUUGUAUAA